CCUACGGGAGGCUGCAGUGAGGAAUAUUGGUCAAUGGGCUUACGCCUGAACCAGCCAAGUCGCGUGAGGGAAGACUGCCCUAUGGGUUGUAAACCUCUUUUGUCAGGGAGCAACGCCGGCUACGUGUAGCCGGACUGAGAGUACCUGAAGAAAAAGCAUCGGCAAACUCCGUGACAGCAGCCGCGGUAAUACGGAGGAUGCGAGCGUUAUACGGAUUUAUUGGGUUUAAAGGGUGCGUAGGCGGAAUGCCAAGUCAGCGGUAAAGACGCGGGGCUCAACCUCGCUCCGCCGUUGAAACUGGCGUUCUUGAGUGGGCGAGAAGUAUGCGGAAUGCGCAGUGUAGCGGUGAAAUGCUUAGAUAUUGCGCAGAACUACGAUUGCGAAGGCAGCAUACCGGCGGCGAUCUGACGCUGAGGCACGAAAGCGUGGGUAUCGAACAGGAUUAGAUACCCGGGUAGUC
rnacentral:rRNA from 1 species